CCUGGACCUUCCGGCACCCCCACCCCCCACCACACCUUUCCUCUACGGAGCUCUUCCCUCAAAAUGGAAAUUCACCGGAGAGAGAAGAAAGAGCAGUGCAAACUGAUAAAGUGUUGAGCAACUGGCUGCGUUGUGAAUCCCAGCGGCUGCCGCUGCUGCGCAUCUCCCGUGAGCCUACUCUGUGCCCGCAGCCUGCCAGGCGCUACAGACCCAGACCGUGCACGGCCCUUCCCAGAAGAGAGUGGCGAGGCUGACCUUGGCACAUGGCUAGGCGUCCCUUCUUAAGGAAAUUCUUGGAGAGGGAGGAAAAAUACUAGCAGACCCACCGUCAAGCUGCCUCUAAAGGACAGAGCUACAGAACAGCUACCGUGGGACAGUAAAGCUAGAUGACCCGGGCCUGAAUCCUAGCUCUGCUGUUUAUCAGCUACAUGACAUGAGCAAGCAGUUUGAUACAUCCAGUCUUCGGUUUCCAUAUCUGUAACAUGGAGCUAGAAACUUCUGCAUACGGAGACAGGAGAACCAGUUUUAAUGAGAAAAACUCAAUUGUGUCCUGAAAUAUUUAUACCAGCUUUGCAAUUAGGUAUAAAACAUUUACCAGUUCUGCCUCCAAACACAUCCUUGAAAAAGAUGGAAACUGUUAUCUCUGAUUCACCAAAAAACAGAAGAAAAAAAAAACUUGUUUUGACUUAUCUGGUCUGCUAAUUUUAGACAAAUUAAAAAAUCCGAGAGCCUUUUUGUGGCACAGUUGUGAAAAUGAGGCCUUCAGAGAGAUGGAAUGAUCCUCCCACGGUUAUUUAACAAGAAACUUUUGGAAUUCCAACUGGUAUCCAAAUGCUUGAUUUCUGAGAUCCCAGGAUAUGUCAUCAGACCAAACCGUGUCAUAUGCUCAGAUCUCGGAUUCCAGUCUUCUUGACACCAGCAAAUAAAUACACACAAAGCAGCAAAUAUAAUGAAUCCACAGCUUCUUCACCUGCCUUCCUUACUGUCCACCUUCUGUCUGAGACUAUCUGAAGGGUUCCAUGAUCAUCACUGAAUUACAUAACCAUCCAAAUGAGAUUGUUCUUCCAUCUGUUAAGGGCCAUCAGAGCCCCCGUGCAAUGAAUUUCAAUUUAAGGAGCUUUAUGUCCCAUCUGGAGCAAGAGGAUUCAUUCCUAUAUAAGAGAAAAAAGAUCAUUGUGAUUUUAACCUGGUUUUAAUGGAAAUGACUCAAUCCAAACCUUAAAAUUUAAAUGAUGUUUAAAUAUUGCAUGUCUCAGCGCACUGAGAUAAUGAUCUUGCCAGCAAUUAUUUUCAAAGUCCCAUUUUCACAGCAGUAAAUGCUCAUUAAAAAUAAACCAUAUAUACAAGAGCGCUCACUGCAGCAGUAUUUGUAAGAGGAGAAGACUUGAAACCAACCCAAAUGUCUAUCAAAGGAGAUGACACAAAGAAAUUGUGCUGUGUUCAUACCGUGCAGCUAUUAAAAAGAAAGAAGGAGGCCUACAUGUGCCAGUGACAAGAUAUUUAACAUCUAUAAAUAAGUGAAAAAAAAUGCAAGAUGCAAAACACUAUGCAUGUUUCUAAUGUUGGUAGUUACAGCAAUAAAUGUCAGUAUGUGCAUAUCAAAAAAUCUGGAAGUGUAUACAAAAUAAAGACAGUAAUUUCUCUGGGAAAUAACAUGAGGGGGCAAUUUGAUUUUCAACCUUAUUCAAAAUCAUCACAUAUUGCUUCCUUAAUUGAAAAAGACUUCUAUCUCCUUUUAAAUAUGAGGUGUAAUAAAUACAUUUCGCACUAAUAAAUUGAAAAUUUCAAAUGAAAGUUUACAUGAAAAUGGAAUAUGCUCCUUUCAAACAGUUACUGUGUGCUAUAAACACUGCAUUGUUUAUAUUCUUCAGUCCACUGAUUGUUAACAUAGAGAGCCUUUAUUCAUAAUUCUAUUGUGACAGCAGAAAACUAGAAACACCCAAGUGCUUGACAGAGGAAUAGUUAAAUAAACGGCCACUCCCAAUAAACUGUUAUGCAGCCAUUUAAUAAGAAGAUUAAGAAGACUAUGAAACACUAUGAAAUGCC